rnacentral:rRNA from 1 species
GUUGAUCCUGCGGGAGAUUGCUGCUAUUGGGAUCCGACUAAGGCAUGCAAGUUUGCUCUCUUUAUGAGGGCGGCAGACUGCUGAGUAACACGUCGAUAAUCUGCCCUAUGCUCUUGAAUAACCUUGGGAAACUGAGGCUAAUACGAGAUAAGGGAUUGGUACUGGGAUGUCCUUUCUCUGAAAGCUUCGGCGGCAUAGGAUGAGUCGGCGGUGGAUUAGGCUGUUGGUGAGGUAAUGGCUCACUAAACCGAAGAUCCAUAGGGGCCUUGGGAGAGGUAGCCCCCAGAAGGACACUGAGAUACUGGUCCUAGCCCUACGGGGUGCUGCAGCCGCGAAACCUUUACAAUGCACGCAAGUGUGAUAAGGGGAUCCUGAGUGCUCAUGUUCUGCAUGAGCUUUUGCCAAGAGUAAAAAUCUUGGAGAAUAAGUGGUGGGAAAGACUGGUGCCAGCCGCCGCGGUAACACCAGCGCCACGAGUGGGAAUCAGUUUUAUUGGGUCUAAAGCGUCCGUAGCCGGACAAGCAAAUUUUCUGUGAAAUCGGCCAUGUUAACUGGUCGGCGUGCAGGAAACACUACUUGUCUCGAGACUGGGAGAGGUUAGAAGUAUUCCAGGGGUAGCGGUAAAAUGUUAUAAUCCCUGGAGGACUACCAAUGGCGAAGGCAUCUCGCCAGAACAGAUCUGACGGUGAGGGACGAAAGCUGGGGGAGCGAUCCGGAUUAGAUACCCGAGUAGUCCCAGCCCUAAACGCUGCCAGCCAGGUGUUGCACAAUUUUCGUAGUUGUGCAGUGUCGUAACGAAGGUGUUAAGCUGGCCACCUGGGAAGUACGGUCGCAAGGCUGAAACUUAAAGGAAUUGGCGGGGGAGCACCACAACAGGUGCGGCGUGCGGUUUAAUCUAAUUCCACACAGAGAAUCUCACCAGGAGCGACGGCAGGAUGAAAGUCAGAUUAAAGGUCUUACUUGACGAGCCGAGAGGUGGUGCAUGGCCGACGUCAGCUCGUGCUGUGAGGUGUCCUCUUAAGUGAGGCAACGAGCGAGACCUGUACCUGCAGUUGCUAACGCCACGAUACGUGAAGCGAGCACACUGCAGGGACUGCCCUGGAAACAGGGAGGAAGGUGCAGGCUACGUUAGGUCUGUAUGCCCUGAAUCUUCUGGGCUACACGCGCGCAACAAUGACCGGGGCAAUGGGUCACAACUCUGAGAAGAGAAGUUAAUCCUCGAAACCCGGCCUUAGUUUAGAUUGAGGCUUGUAACUCAGCCUCAUGACAAUGGAAUCUGUAGUAAUCGGACGUUAUCAACGUCCGGUGAAUAUGUCCCUGCUCCUUGCACACACCGCCCGUCAAACCAACCGAGCAGGGUCUAGGUGAGAUCAUAUUUUUUGAUAUGCUCGAAUCUAGGCUCAGUGAGGUGGGUUAAGUCGUCACAAGGUA